GGUUCCGUGGUGUAGCGGUUAUCACGUCUGCUUUACACGCAGAAGGUCGCCAGUUCGAUCCCGGCCGGAACCA
rfam:Trachymyrmex zeteki contig9348, whole genome shotgun sequence.